AUUGAACGCUGGCGGCAUGCCUUACACAUGCAAGUCGAACGGCAGCACGGGAGCAAUCCUGGUGGCGAGUGGCGAACGGGUGAGUAAUAUAUCGGAACGCGCCCAGUCGUGGGGAUAACGUAGCGAAAGCUACGCUAAUACCGCAUACGAUCUAUGGAUGAAAGCGGGGGGUCGCAAGACCUCGCGCGAUUGGAGCGGCCGAUAUCAGAUUAGGUAGUUGGUGAGGUAAAGGCUCACCAAGCCGACGAUCUGUAGCUGGUCUGAGAGGACGACCAGCCACACUGGGACUGAGACACGGCCCAGACUCCUACGGGAGGCAGCAGUGGGGAAUUUUGGACAAUGGGCGCAAGCCUGAUCCAGCCAUGCCGCGUGAGUGAUGAAGGCCCUAGGGUUGUAAAGCUCUUUCACCGGUGAAGAUAAUGACGGUAACCGGAGAAGAAGCCCGGCUAACUUCGUGCCAGCAGCCG
rnacentral:rRNA from 1 species